rnacentral:lncRNA from 1 species
GUCUAUAGGGCCCUAUAGGGUUUGGAGGGCCCUAUAGGGUUGGGGGGGGAAUGGAGGGUCUUGUAGGGUCUAUAGGGCCCUAUAGGGUUGGGGGGGGGAAAGGGGGCUGUGUAGGGUCUAUAGGGCCCUAUAGGGUUGGGGGGGGAAAGGGGGCUGUGUAGGGUCUAUAGGGCCCUAUAGGGUGGGGGGGUACGGGGGGGGCCUUGUAGUUGUCUAAUUGGGUCCUAUAUGGUUUGGAGGGCUCUAUAGGGUUGGGGGGGAAUGGGGGUUAUUGGGGCGGGGUUGUGUAAGGUCUAUUGGGUCCUAUAGGGUUUGGAGGGCCCUAUAGGGUCGGGUAGGGGGGUUGUGUAGUGUCUAUUGGGCCCCAUAGGGUCUAUAGGGCCCUAUAGGGUGAGGGAGGGGGGUUCUGUAGGGUCUAUAGAGCCCUAUGGGAAUUGGAAGGCCCUAUAGGGUUAGAAGGAGGGAGGGCUAUGUUGGGUGGUGGUCCCUAUAGGGUGUGAGGAGGGGGGGUUAUAGAUAUAGGGUGCCCUAUAGGGCCUGGGUAAGUCUCUGGGAUCUGUAGGGCCCUGUGGGGUUUUGGGGUGGAGCUGUAGGAUCAGGGGAGCGUCUAUAGGGUGUGGGGGGAGCCCUAUAGGAUCCGACCCCCCCACCCCACCCCACCCCACCCCAUUGUUUGGGGCCAUUUGGGAACACGGAAGGGAUGGGGACGGCCCCGAGUCCCACCCAGGCUUAACCCCAUGACUCAGCCCCACGCCUGGAGCCUCCCAGUGGGAUACUGGGGUGUAAUGGGGGGGGGGGGGAAGGGGUCACCCCAUAUCACGGGUGGGAAACCACAUUAGUGGGGUAUGGCCCUAUAUCAUGAGUGGGAGACCCCCAUUAUGGGCAGGAACCCCAUUGGAAUGAGUGGGAGACCCCAUUGGGGGCACAAACCCCAUUGGAAUGAAUGGGAGACCCCCUAUGGGGGCACAAACCCCAUUGGAAUGAGUGGGAGACCCCCAUUGGGGGCACAAACCCUAUUGGGAUUAGUGGGAGACCUCCUUAGUGGGGUAUGGCCCUAUAUCAUGAAUGGGAGACCCCACUGGGGGCAGGAACCCCAUUGGGGUGGGUGGGAGACCCUCUAUGGGGGCAGGAACCCCAUUGGGAUGAAUGGGAGACCCCCAUAGGGGGCAGGAACCCCAUUGAGGUGGAUGGGAGACCCCCAUAGGGGGCACAAACCCCAUUGGAAUGAAUGGGAGACCCCAUUGGGGGCACAAACCCCAUUGGGAUGAAUGGGAGACCCCCAUAGGGGUCACAAACCCCAUUGGGAUGAAUGGGAGACCCCCCAUAUGGGCUUGGGACCCCUUUGGUGGGCAAUGACCCCAAAUGACAACUAGGAGACCCCCUUUGAGUGCCCCCCCCCCUCCCCCUAAAUCCCAUUAUGGGGCACAAAAACCCCACCCUGGCCCCACAGCGUUGCCCCAUAGCGGGUGGGUGUCACCCCCCCCUGCCCCACACCCACCCCACCCCACAGCGAAUCCUUCCGUCUCGCCCCACAACGUCACAGCACACGACAAAGGACGAGCCCUAAAGGCUGCAGGUCAGUUGGAGGCUCCUUAAUACCCCCAUGGGGCAGAUUGGGGUCCUUUAAUUACCCCCAGGGGUAGAUUGGGGUCCUUUAAUUACCCCAUGGGACAGAUUGGGGUCCUUUAAUUACCCCCAGGGGUGGAUUGGGGUCUUAAUUACCCCCAGGGGCAGAUUGAGGUCUCUUAAUUACCCCCAGGGGCAGAUUUGGGUCUCUUAACUACCCCCAGGGGCAGAUUGGGGUCCCUUAAUACCCCCAUGGGGCAGAUUGGGGUCCUUUAAUUACCCCCAGGGGUAGAUUUGNGCAGAUUGGGGUCCUUUAAUUACCCCCAGGGGCAGAUUUGAGUCUCUUAAUUACCCCCAGGGGUAGAUUGGGGUCUCUUAAUUACCCCCAGGGGCAGAUUGGGGUCUCUUAAUUACCCCCAGGGGCAGAUUGGGGUCUCUUAAUUACCCCCAGGGGUAGAUUUGGGUCUCAUUUACCCCCAGGGGUGGAUUGGGGUCUCUUAAUUACCCCCCAUACAUGAUGCCCCCUCCCAUAUAUAGGAUGACCCCCCCAUAUAUAAGAUGCCCCCCCCCAUAUAUAAGAUAACCCCCCCAUAUA